rnacentral:lncRNA from 1 species
AAAUUACAAUUAAAGAUUAGCAAAUAUAAUCAAACAUAGAUCAAAUUCAAUCAAAAUUUCAAAAGAAUUAUAUAAGAAACAGAAAGUAUUCUUAGAGAUCCAUUAAAGAAUCAUAAAGAAUUGAUAAAGAAAUUUAAAAAUAUAUUAAAAUAGAAAUCUUAAUAAAAUAUUAAAAUAGAAAUCUUAAUUAAAUCCUAGUCAAAACCUAAUCAAAUUCUAGUCAAAUCCUUGUCAAAUCCUAAUUAAUUCCUAAAUAAAUCUUAAUCAAAUCCUAGCCAAACCCUAAACAAACUCUAAUCAAUCUUUAAAAAAUCCUAAACAAAUCUUAAUCAAAAUCCUAAUCAAAUUCUAAAUAAAUCCUAGUCAAAUCUUAAUAAAUUCUAACGAAAUCUUAAAUAAAUCUUAGUCAAAUUCUAAACAAAUCCUAAACAAAUUCUAACCAAAUCCUAAAUAAAUCCUAACCAAAUCAUAAAAUAAAUCCUAAUCAAAUCUUAAACAAAUCCUAAAAAAUCCUAAAAAAUCCUAAAAAAAUCCUAAUCAAAUUCUAAUCAAAUUCUAAUCAAAUCCUAGUCAAACCUUAAUCAAAUCCUAAAUAAAACCUAAUAAAAU